rnacentral:sRNA from 1 species
GCUGGGCUUGAUGGCACAAGCCUGUAAUCCCAGCAACUCCGAAGGCUGAGGCAGGAGGAUCAAAAGUUAGAGGUCAGCCUCAGCAAUUUAGAACUUGUCUCAA